rnacentral:rRNA from 1 species
UACGUAGGGUGCGAGCGUUAAUCGGAAUUACUGGGCGUAAAGCGUGCGCAGGCGGUUCGUUGUGUCGGUGGUGAAAUCCCCGGGCUUAACCUGGGAACUGCAUUCGAGACUGCAUUGCUAGAGUAUGGGAGAGGGAAGUGGAAUUUCCGGUGUAGCGGUGAAAUGCGUAGAUAUCGGAAGGAACAUCAGUGGCGAAAGCGACUUCCUGGACCAAUACUGACGCUCAUGUGCGAAAGCGUGGGGAGCAAACAGG